rnacentral:rRNA from 1 species
AUUGAACGCUGGCGGAAUGCUUUACACAUGCAAGUCGAACGGCAGCACGGACUUCGGUCUGGUGGCGAGUGGCGAACGGGUGAGUAACAUAUCGGAACGUAUCCAAUAAUGGGGGAUAACGAGUCGAAAGAUUCGCUAAUACCGCAUACGCCCUACGAGGGAAAGCUGGGGACCUUCGGGCCUGGCGUUAAUGGAGCGGCCGAUAUCUGAUUAGCUAGUUGGUGAGGUAAAGGCUCACCAAGGCGACGAUCAGUAGCUGGUCUGAGAGGACGACCAGCCACACUGGAACUGAGACACGGUCCAGACUCCUACGGGAGGCAGCAGUGGGGAAUUUUGGACAAUGGGCGCAAGCCUGAUCCAGCCAUUCCGCGUGAGUGAAGAAGGCCUUCGGGUCGUAAAGCUCUUUCGCAAGGGAAGAAAACUUAGCCACUAACAUUGGUUGAGGUUGACGGUACCUUGAUAAGAAGCACCGGCUAACUACGUGCCAGCCGCCGCGGUAA